ACUAAGCGUACACGGUGGAUGCCCUGGCAGUCAGAGGCGAUGAAGGACGUGCUAAUCUGCGAAAAGCGUCGGUAAGGUGAUAUGAACCGUUAUAACCGGCGAUGUCCGAAUGGGGAAACCCAGUGCAAUUCGUUGCACUAUCGUUAACUGAAUACAUAGGUUAACGAGGCGAACCGGGGGAACUGAAACAUCUAAGUACCCCGAGGAAAAGAAAUCAACCGAGAUUCCCCCAGUAGCGGCGAGCGAACGGGGAGCAGCCCAGAGUCUGAAUCAGCUUGUGUGUUAGUGGAACGGUCUGGAAAGUCCGACGGUACAGGGUGAUAGUCCCGUACACCAAAAUGCACAGGUUGUGAACUCGAAGAGUAGGGCGGGACACGUGGUAUCCUGUCUGAAUAUGGGGGGACCAUCCUCCAAGGCUAAAUACUCCUGACUGACCGAUAGUGAACCAGUACCGUGAGGGAAAGGCGAAAAGAACCCCGGCGAGGGGAGUGAAAAAGAACCUGAAACCGUGUACGUACAAGCAGUGGGAGCACCUUCGGGUGUGACUGCGUACCUUUUGUAUAAUGGGUCAGCGACUUAUAUUCUGUAGCAAGGUUAACCGUAUAGGGGAGCCGCAGGGAAACCGAGUCUUAACUGGGCGUUAAGUUGCAGGGUAUAGACCCGAAACCCGGUGAUCUAGCCAUGGGCAGGUUGAAGGUUGGGUAACACUAACUGGAGGACCGAACCGACUAAUGUUGAAAAAUUAGCGGAUGACUUGUGGCUGGGGGUGAAAGGCCAAUCAAACCGGGAGAUAGCUGGUUCUCCCCGAAAGCUAUUUAGGUAGCGCCUCGUGAAUUCAUCUUCGGGGGUAGAGCACUGUUUCGGCUAGGGGGUCAUCCCGACUUACCAACCCGAUGCAAACUACGAAUACCGAAGAAUGUUAUCACGGGAGACACACGGCGGGUGCUAACGUCCGUCGUGAAGAGGGAAACAACCCAGACCGCCAGCUAAGGUCCCAAAGUCACAGUUAAGUGGGAAACGAUGUGGGAAGGCACAGACAGCCAGGAUGUUGGCUUAGAAGCAGCCAUCAUUUAAAGAAAGCGUAAUAGCUCACUGGUCGAGUCGGCCUGCGCGGAAGAUGUAACGGGGCUAAACUGUGCACCGAAGCUGCGGCAGCGACACUAUGUGUUGUUGGGUAGGGGAGCGUUCUGUAAGCCUGCGAAGGUGGCCUGUGAGGGUUGCUGGAGGUAUCAGAAGUGCGAAUGCUGACAUAAGUAACGAUAAUGCGGGUGAAAAGCCCGCACGCCGGAAGACCAAGGGUUCCUGUCCAACGUUAAUCGGGGCAGGGUGAGUCGACCCCUAAGGCGAGGCCGAAAGGCGUAGUCGAUGGGAAACAGGUUAAUAUUCCUGUACUUGGUGUUACUGCGAAGGGGGGACGGAGAAGGCUAUGUUAGCCGGGCGACGGUUGUCCCGGUUUAAGCAUGUAGGCGGAGGUUCCAGGUAAAUCCGGUACCUUUUUAACGCUGAGGUGUGAUGACGAGGCACUACGGUGCUGAAGUAACAAAUGCCCUGCUUCCAGGAAAAGCCUCUAAGCAUCAGGUAACAUUAAAUCGUACCCCAAACCGACACAGGUGGUCAGGUAGAGAAUACCAAGGCGCUUGAGAGAACUCGGGUGAAGGAACUAGGCAAAAUGGUGCCGUAACUUCGGGAGAAGGCACGCUGAUAUGUAGGUGAAGCCCCUGCGGGUGGAGCUGAAAUCAGUCGAAGAUACCAGCUGGCUGCAACUGUUUAUUAAAAACACAGCACUGUGCAAACACGAAAGUGGACGUAUACGGUGUGACGCCUGCCCGGUGCCGGAAGGUUAAUUGAUGGGGUUAUCCGUAAGGAGAAGCUCUUGAUCGAAGCCCCGGUAAACGGCGGCCGUAACUAUAACGGUCCUAAGGUAGCGAAAUUCCUUGUCGGGUAAGUUCCGACCUGCACGAAUGGCGUAAUGAUGGCCAGGCUGUCUCCACCCGAGACUCAGUGAAAUUGAACUCGCUGUGAAGAUGCAGUGUACCCGCGGCAAGACGGAAAGACCCCGUGAACCUUUACUAUAGCUUGACACUGAACAUUGAGCCUUGAUGUGUAGGAUAGGUGGGAGGCUUUGAAGCGUGGACGCCAGUCUGCGUGGAGCCAACCUUGAAAUACCACCCUUUAAUGUUUGAUGUUCUAACGUUGGCCCCUUAUCGGGGUUGCGGACAGUGUCUGGUGGGUAGUUUGACUGGGGCGGUCUCCUCCCAAAGAGUAACGGAGGAGCACGAAGGUUAGCUAAUCCUGGUCGGACAUCAGGAGGUUAGUGCAAUGGCAUAAGCUAGCUUGACUGCGAGCGUGACGGCGCGAGCAGGUGCGAAAGCAGGUCAUAGUGAUCCGGUGGUUCUGAAUGGAAGGGCCAUCGCUCAACGGAUAAAAGGUACUCCGGGGAUAACAGGCUGAUACCGCCCAAGAGUUCAUAUCGACGGCGGUGUUUGGCACCUCGAUGUCGGCUCAUCACAUCCUGGGGCUGAAGUAGGUCCCAAGGGUAUGGCUGUUCGCCAUUUAAAGUGGUACGCGAGCUGGGUUUAGAACGUCGUGAGACAGUUCGGUCCCUAUCUGCCGUGGGCGCUGGAGAAUUGAGGGGGGCUGCUCCUAGUACGAGAGGACCGGAGUGGACGCAUCACUGGUGUUCGGGUUGUCAUGCCAAUGGCAUUGCCCGGUAGCUAAAUGCGGAAGAGAUAAGUGCUGAAAGCAUCUAAGCACGAAACUUGCCCCGAGAUGAGUUCUCCCUGAGACUUUAAGUCUCCUGAAGGAACGUUAAAGACGAUGACGUUGAUAGGUCGGGUGUGUAAGCGUAGCGAUACGUUGAGCUAACCGAUACUAAUGAACCGUGAGGCUUAACC
rnacentral:rRNA from 1 species